rnacentral:rRNA from 1 species
GACGAACGCUGGCGGCGUGCUUAACACAUGCAAGUCGAACGGAAAGACCCUGCUUUUGUGGUGUUCUCGAUUGGCGAACGGGUGAGUAACACGUGAGUAACCUGCCCUUGACUUUGGGAUAACUUCAGGAAACUGGGGCUAAUACCGGAUAGGAGCUCCUGCUGCAUGGUGGGGGUUGGAAAGUUUCGGCGGUUGGGGAUGGACUCGCGGCUUAUCAGCUUGUUGGUGGGGUAGUGGCUUACCAAGGCUUUGACGGGUAGCCGGCCUGAGAGGGUGACCGGCGACAUUGGGACUGAGAUACGGCCCAGACUCCUACGGGAGGCAGCAGUGGGGAACAUUGCACAAUGGGCGGAAGCCUGAUGCAGCAACGCCGCGUGCGGGAUGACGGCCUUCGGGUUGUAAACCGCUUUCGCCUGUGACGAAGCGUGAGUGACGGUAAUGGGUAAAGAAGCACCGGCUAACUACGUG